UGGGGAAUAUUGGACAAUGGGCGAAAGCCUGAUCCAGCCAUGCCGCGUGUGUGAAGAAGGUCUUCGGAUUGUAAAGCACUUUAAGUUGGGAGGAAGGGUUGUAGAUUAAUACUCUGCAAUUUUGACGUUACCGACAGAAUAAGCACCGGCUAACUCUGUGCCAGCAGCCGCGGUAAUACAGAGGGUGCAAGCGUUAAUCGGAAUUACUGGGCGUAAAGCGCGCGUAGGUGGUUAGUUAAGUUGGAUGUGAAAUCCCCGGGCUCAACCUGGGAACUGCAUUCAAAACUGACUGACUAGAGUAUGGUAGAGGGUGGUGGAAUUUCCUGUGUAGCGGUGAAAUGCGUAGAUAUAGGAAGGAACACCAGUGGCGAAGGCGACCACCUGGACUGAUACUGACACUGAGGUGCGAAAGCGUGGGGAGUAAACA
rnacentral:rRNA from 1 species